rnacentral:rRNA from 1 species
AGUGAACGCUGGCGGUAGGCCUAACACAUGCAAGUCGAACGGCAGCACAGUAAGGGCUUGCUCUUACGGGUGGCGAGUGGCGGACGGGUGAGGAAUACAUCGGAAUCUACUUUUUCGUGGGGGAUAACGUAGGGAAACUUACGCUAAUACCGCAUACGACCUACGGGUGAAAGCAGGGGAUCUUCGGACCUUGCGCGAUUGAAUGAGCCGAUGUCGGAUUAGCUAGUUGGCGGGGUAAAGGCCCACCAAGGCGACGAUCCGUAGCUGGUCUGAGAGGAUGACCAGCCACACUGGAACUGAGACACGGUCCAGACCCCUACGGGAGGCAGAAGUGGGGAAUAUUGGACAAUGGGCGAAAGCCUGAUCCAGCCAGACCGCGGGGGUGAAGAAGGCCUCCGGGUGGUAAAGCCCUUUUGUUGGGAAAGAAAAGCAGCAGGUUAAUACCCCGCUGUUCGGACGGUACCCAAAGAAUAAGCACCGGCAAACUUCGU